GGAAACCAUAGCUCAGUGGUAGAGUACAUGCUUUGCAUGCAGAAGAUUCCUGGUUCAGUCCCUGGCAUCUCCA